GCACUUCUCCUUGCUGCCGCCAUGUGAAGGAUUUGUUUGCUUCGCCUUCUGCCAUGAUUGUAAGUUUCCUGAGGCCUCCCCAGCCAUGCUGAACUGUGAGUCAAUUAAAUCUCUUUCCUUUAUAAAUUACCCAGUCUCAAGUAUGUCUUUAUUAGCAGAGUGAGAAUGGAGUAAUACAGCUACUUAAUUCAAUUUUACUCAUUUCUUGGCUUAUGUGUCCUAGGACAUCUCAUUUUGUCAACUACUGUGAAGUCACUCUGACUUGGAAAAUAAAUAAUGAUAUUAAUGUAACCUAACCAAGUACCUAUUACCAUACUAAUUGGAACACACCAAAAAUUGUGUGUGUGUGCAUGUGUGUGUCUGUGUAGGUCUGCUUGGCAUAGUCUGUAUAAUCUAUCUGGCAACUUUUUACUGGAUCAGAAUUCAAAACUGACUCAUAAAGACCUUUAUAUCAACAUAUUUUUGAUGAAUAUCUGAUGAACAAAUGAAUGAAUGUCAGAAGGAAUACUAGCAAUGAUCUAGCCUGGAUGUUCACAUCCUGGGGAGCAAACCAGAAUUACCUGGGGGUCCCCCCACUAUUACCACCACCACCACAUGCAAAUGCACACUGGGGGCCCACGACUGGAGAUCGUGAAACUACCUUUGCAAAAGUUACAACAUUGAGAAAAUCAUGACAGUGAAAGAGACCUGACCUAACCAACUCCAUCUUGCCUUUAACCUCCAAACAGCCCUUGGUCAUUCCUGGGCAUGGGCCGAACUACCUUUGGGAGAAAUUUAGUUUAUAGUUCAAAUGAUAAUAGCGCUUCCCAAAAUUAAACUACGUUUUUGUUAAACUAAUAAAAGGCCACAAGUUUAGGAUUAUGAGAGGCGCUUAAAUUCUGCUAAAUGUAGGCAUAGUUAAAUGAUUACCAGUCAUUGUUCCAAAGGACACAAGAAUUGCAGUUUCCCCAAUUAUUAGAACCUAAGAUUGGCCUUUUAAGAUGUCUUUUCAGCCUCUUGCAUGUCUGACAACUGGAUGACUCCACUUGGACCAGCACCUCCUCUGUGGCCCCCACCCAGAAGUGGACUCAGUGCAUGAGAACUGAUUUCCCCACUCCCCUGAUUGCAUCCCCAACAAAUCAGCACAGCUCACCCUGCUCACCAAACUAUCCUUGAAAAACCCUAGCCUCCAAAUUUUCAGGAAGGCUAAUUCUGGUCUCCCGUUUAGCUGGCUCUACGUGUAUUAAACUCUCUCUGUCAUAAUUAUCCUGUCUUAGUAAAUCAACACAUCUGCGCAGUGAGCAAGAAGAACCCAUUGAUCAGUGUAAUUAGUCAGGGCUCUCCGGAGAGACAGGACUAAUAGGAUAGUUGUAUAUAUGAAAGAGAGCUUAUUAAGGAAUAUUGACUCACACAAUCACAAGAUCAAGUCCCACAAUAGGCUGUCUGCAAGCUGGGGAGCAAGGAAGCCAGUCCAAGUCCCAAAACCUCAAAACUAGGGAAGCUGACAGUGCAGCCUUCACUGUGUGGCCCAAGGCCCAAGAGCCCCUGGCAAACCACUGAUGUAAGUCAAACAGUCCAAAAGUUGAAGAACUUGGAGUCCGACGUUCGAGGGCAGGAAGCAUCCAGCAUUGGAGAAAGAUGAAGACUGGAAGACUCUGCCAGUCUAGUCCUUCCACAUUCUUCCUGCUUUAAUCUAGCCACGCUGGCAGCUGAUUAGAUUGUGGCCACCCAGACUGAGAGUGGGCCUGCCUCUCCCGGUCCACUGACUCAAAUGUUCAUCUCCUUUGGCAUAGACACAGCCAGGAACAAUACUUUGCAUCCUUUAAUCCAGUCAAGUUGACACUCAAUAUUAACCAUCACAGGCAGUUACAAAUGUGAUCCCGUAAAAGAAUAUGGAGCAUGGUGAUCUACUUGCUUCAAAUCAGAUCCAGAGAUGCACUUCUGGGCUCACUUCCAGGCUCACUUCUUCAUUUUACAAAUGAGGAAACAGAGGUUACAUGGUCUGUUCAAGGCCACACAGCUCAUGGCUAAAUGACACCAUAACCCAAUACUCUGGGCUCUGAUGGCACCUCAGCAGCACUUACCAGAAAGCAUCACGUGGUACCAAGGCCCAUAUGAGUCCUAGCUGAUAUAUAUAUCUCCCGGGUACUAAUUCCCAGAGUCAGCAGAGGAAAUAGGCUUAGGUGAUUUAGAAUAAAAUAUCUAGCCAAACAAAAUUUAGCCUUUGCCUAUAUGGAACGUCCCUCAGGACAGUGCAAGGUCACCCCUGUGAACACGCUUACUUGAAUAGGACCCCUAGAGUUCUCCUAUCACCUGGAGGGCAGGAGGAGGUCUUGGCAGAAUCUGUAUUAACUUAGAGACUGAUACGGUUUGGCAGUGUCACCACCCAAAUCUCAUCUUGAAUUAUAGCUUCCAUAAUUCCCACAUGUUGUGGGAGGGACCCAGUGGGAGAUAAUUGGAUCAUGGGGACAGUUUCCCCCGUGCUGUUCUCGCGGUAGUGACUAAGUCUCGGGAGAUAUGUUGGUUUUAUAAGAGGAAAUCCCUUUUGCUUGAUUCUCUUUUCUCUCUUGUGUGCCUUUCACCUUCCGCCAUGAUUGUGAGGCCUCCCCAGCCACGUGGAACUGUGAGUCCAUUAAACCUCUUUUUCUUUAUAAAUUACCCACUCUCGGAUAUGUCUUUAUAAGCAGUGUGAAAACAGACUAAUACAGAGACCCAGCGGGUGGAGACCUCCAGCUCCUCAUCCCUCAAGAUACAGGAAGUGAGCUGUUCAGGCCGCCUGUUCCCCGACGAGGUGCGUGGUUUUGGAGAUUAAUGUUAGCGGUCUUUGUGGGAGGCACUAGGAGGGCUCCCUUUAAGAAGCCCAGAGUGCGGAAACACUGAUUGUGACAUGUGAAUGUGCUCCAUGAGAAGAUGGCAGGUAUCGGAACGUGUGGAGGAAACUGAAAAGUAAAGACCGCCUAAAGAUUGAAACUACCAUUCAGGUAAGUUCCAGGGGACAGAAACAAGCUCUCUGAAGACUCUCAUUAAUCUUUGCUGUCCGAAGCUACCUUCUCCAUCUCCUGCUCACCUGGGAGGACUCCCUGGAGGAAGCCAGGAAAGGUGAAAAUCCAUGUAUCUCUUCACAUUUGGAGAACAAAGGGAAUUCAAGAACAAUUUUAUGGAUUUUCUUUGUUUUUUAUUAAUUAAGACAUGCCUGUUUUAAAUUAGACAAUAAUUUUUUAAAUAUCCUUCAGAUUAUAAAAUGUAAAUUGUCAUGGCCUCUUUUAAAGGCAAUUCUACAGAAUAUACUGUAGUCUCUUUUUUUUUUUUUUUUUUUAAGUUUUUUGUAGAAGUGAACUCUCACUAUGUUGCCCAGGCUCAUCACAAACUCCUGGCCUUAGCAAUCCUCCUGCCUCGCCCUCCUAAAGUGCCGGGAUUACAGGCGAGAGACACCACACUGGGCCUGAAUCUACUUUAAAAAUAUUUUUCAAAUGUCAUACACUAUUACCCAGCAAUUUUACUAGUGGUGUCUCUCCUAGAGAAACAUAAACAUGCGUUCAAGGAGGCUUGUACACGAGUGGCCCCUGUGGCACUGUUUCUAAUAGCUAAAAAAUAGAAAGAGUCUUAACUGCCCGUCAGUAGAGGAAUGGCUAAAUAGAUGGUUAUUUGCUAAGGCAUCCUAUGCAGCAAUUAAAAAGGGAUUAGAGAGUUUACAUUUACUAACAUGGACACAUAACAAAAAAAAGAACCACUGUGGAGUGAAAAGGUAUAUUAUAGAAAGAUCCGUACAACGUGGUAGCAUGUAUUUUAAAAAAUUCUGAAUUCUCCCCAAGUACAUAUAUAACCAUGCAAAUACACAGAAAAUCUCAGGAAAACCACAUAUAACGCGGGAAGAGGGCCAGGAGUGGUAUUUAAUAGGGCCGGCCUUGGCUCUAAAGUUUUGUUUUCAAAUGUAAUGUCUUUGUUAAUUACUUGAGUAAUUUAAAAAGGUAACAACCUCUCCACCCUCAUCCAAUCACACCUUCCCAAAAGUAAUCACUUUUAAGAGGCUUUCAUAACUUUCUCUAUGCUCACACAAAGAUACACAAACACAGAUGUGUUAGCAGCAGUGAACCCAUAUGGGUCUGCAGCAACUCAAUUCUUGCCUCCUCAGAGCAAAGAAUACAUCCAAGGAGCAUAAUGCAAGUUUUUUGAGCAGGAGUGAGAGUCUAUUAUAAAAGUUUUAGAGCAGGAAUGAAAGGAAGUAAAAUACACUUGGAAGAGGGCCAAAUGGGCAUCUUGAAAGAUCCAAGUGCCCCGUUUGACCUUUGACAUGGGGUUUUAUAUAUUGUCAUGCUUCUGGGGUUUUGUGUCUCUCCUCCUUUGAUUUUUCCUUGGGCUGGGCUGUCUGCCUGUGCAAUGGCCUGCCAGCAUUUGGGAGGGGCUGCAUGUGCAGUGCACUUACUGAAGUUGUACACAUGUUCAUUUGAGGCAUUUUUCCCUUACCAGUCAAUUGUUCCUAGAGGAAGGUCAUAUACCAGUUAAACUCUGCCAUUUUGCCUCUUAGUGCACAUGCUUGAGCCCACUCUUCCAAAUCCCAAGAUCUUAUUAGGAAGCUGCUGAUCACUAGCUUCAGGUAUUUUCUAUCUGUUGGAGACUGCCUUCCCCUGGCACCGCUGUGAUCAAUUAUUAUUGUAGAAAGACAGUUUAACAACCACCUGGCCAUCAUCUGAUGGUCGCCUGACGUUCCUUUUGGGGGGCUCUCCUGCCCUGCUCAUGUCUGCCUAGCUACCUACCCUAACAUAUGCACAUAUACUUUUUUCUCUUGUUUUUUAAUUUUCUAAAAUAGGAUCAGACUAUACAUAAUAUUCUAUAAUUUUCUUUUUUUACCUAAUAAAAUUUCAAAGAUUUCUCUUCAA